CAGAAGAGAAGGGGGCAACAAUUAAUCAGUGAAUAUUUUGUAAAAAUAUUUAUAUAAAAUAAUGCUUUUCCUCAUUCUGUUGCUUUGCGGUCAGGUGCAGUGUCCUUCCUCGCUGAUGGAGAUGGCCAGUGGCAUCCGCAAAGCACCCUGUUCCUCUCCCAUCCAAAAUUGCCAGCUGCAGAAUUCAACACUGCUGUUCAAUGGAUUUACUUGGGAAUUAGAUGUCUUCUGGAAAAGAGAAAGAUUUUUGCAUGGACACUGAACGGGAGUCCAAGUAAGCAGUCUGAUGCUCCAUAGUGUCAUCUGCAGCUUGAAAACAACUAUUGCAUGGGGACUGAUUUUAUUGCCAUUGAAGUCAUUCGUGUCUCAACAUUUUCAGUUGUGUUCCUGUAUUAAUGCUCAUGGCACAAUCGCCAGUCGACCGUGAAAUUUUAGCCUCAAGUCACACAUAAAUAUCUGAAGUGAUUCUGUACUAUUCAAGUAUUUACAGAGAUGUCAACCGCUUGCGCAGUACUGAUCUCUAUGGAUCUUCCAUCAAGUUAGCCCAAAAGGAGCAGGAACAAUUUUGCGAGAGACUGUGAACAACUUCAGUCGUACCCAAAGCAGGAUGUUAAUGCAGCCUGAAGCUUUGUGUUGGACACUUGGGAGCGCAAAUAUGAUGGCGAAGAAGCCAGGCAGUGUUCUUAAGGAUCUGAAGCAGUUGCAUAUUCAAGGAAAGAGCAGAGACACUGUUGGCUGUUCUGCACGAAGGUAAAGGUUUGCAGCACUUAAAUAUACAUCUAUAUUUUUUUUUUUUCCAGAAAGUUGCCUGCUAUAACUAGGGUAAAUACUAUGCAAAUUAGGAAGCCACUGUUGGGUCUAUCGAAAUGCGUCUCUGCAUAGGCUUGCUGAAAUCUGUUUGUGAUUUCAGUGUAAUUAAAGAAUAUGAUCACUGCAGAAUAUGACUCACAAUAGAAAUUCCGGGCAGUGUGGGUAUAGGAAUUGUUCAGUUAAUAUACAUUUAGCUUAAUGUCUUGUUUGCAACAGAAGCCAUCAGCAGAUGAUUUGGAGGAAGGUGUAGAAGACCCAUAGGUAACAAAUAAUCUGCUGUACAUAUUAGAUCUCAGCCUAAUCUUAAAUCUAUUUUGAAUGCUAAAAAUCUGAAGCAUGGCAUUUUCAUAUACUUCCCACAAUUUCUUACUCAAAAAAUCACUAUUUUCGAGUAUUACUGGUAACAAUUUAACCACUGAGUCUCUUUUUGAAUCUUGUGAAAUUGUUGGCCUCAGUGAUUUCCCUUAACAAUAAGUUUUGUAAUAUAAUUACAUGCUUAUAUUAUUUUAUUAUUAUUUUGGCAUCUCACAACGAAUUUCCUGUUACAGGAUAGCAAGAACUGAAGUACAAAAUCUACCUUUUCUGUAAUAUUCUGUAUUUUUUAUGUUUGUUUUUUUUUUAAUCACAGUCCUUUCAGACCUCAUUCAUUUCAAGGGUAAAAACCAAACAUCUUUCAGUUUGCCUUUUCCCUGAGCCAGGUCAUUCUUCUCAUCCUGCUUUUAAUUUCAUCUAGCUAUGCAGUAUCCUGUAUUGAGAUCUUUGCAGCCCAUAUCAUAACACUUUCUUCCAGAUGAAGAUAUCAAUAUUGAUUUCUCUAACAUUCUUCAACUUACUCAUUAUCACUUUUCUUAUGCCUCCCAACAUUUUAUUUGUUUUGACCACUGCUAAAUAUGACCUCAGUCAGCUUUCUAAGCUGAUACACUUUUUUAGAAUGCUGUGAAUCAUCUAAAUAACUUCUUUUCUUCCCUUCCUCAACACAAUACUUUGUAGUUAUCAAAAUAGAGUUUUGCUCUGCAUCAGUCUGCCCAUGCGAUGCUGUCUAAUUGUGUCUUUUGAAGUUCUUUCUAGUCCUCUCUAACCUUAAUAUAAAUAACGUCAUCUACAGAUUUUGCUUCCCUCUUUUCAGAUCUUUGCUUUCUUUCCAGAUCAGUAAUAAAUAUAUUAAAACACAGUGAACUAUUAUUUUCCUUAGUAAGAUUGUGAUUAUAACUCUAAAAAAGCUCGUUUGACAAUUUUUGUGUCUCUGAGAAAGUUAGCCCAUUUCCUAUUUGUUUUUUAAACUCUUAUUGCCAUUACUUAUUUUAGAAUGCCAAGUAAUUAAAAUAUGGUGGCUUAAUGCCUGUUUAUACUCUGACUCCCUUUUUCAUAGAUGAAAAGCUAUCUGUAAUAAUAAGAAACUUAUAAAAAUAUUUCUAUUAUGAACCAUGCAUCUGGCAUAAUUAUAAAUUUUUUCCCACCGUAGUACAAUUUAGGUUCUUAGGAUGCCUGUGUUACGGAGGUUUUGGCUCAUGUAAUUAUUUCUUGAAAGGAGAAAGAUGCCUUAUUAAAAAAAAUGUAAUUUCAAACUUUUGAAACUUGAGUUUUACAUGUAUAAAAAAAAAGAAUUUGGUCCUUCGGACAAAUCUCUGGUAUUUUAAGGGUGACAUCUUUCAAAAAUGUUUAUUGUUAACAGACUCCCCCAGUGAAACCUCUUCAUUUCCCGUUACUUUCAAUGGGAGGUGGGCCACCACUGAUGGCAUUCAAAAGCACUGCCCCUGUCUAUAAUCAUCAAAACAAGUGAUGUUCAUAAUUUUUUUUAGAACGAUUAAGACAAGGUAGUAACCAUUUUGCAGUUCCCUGGUAAGGACAGGGGAAGUCCAUAGGACGGCAGGCAGAUGGGAAUACUCAGUGCAGUAUUGCCAUCUGUUGGUAGCUGCUUAGCAGAGCUGCAGAACUGCUCCACAGCCUUGGACGAUGAACCGUCACGCUGACUUGCUGUAGAUUAUAACUGUUUUCUGCUUCCGAGAGGCUACGUUUCCUUGGCAGGGCACUUGCCCUGUACUGCUGCAUUGCUGGGGAACUGGCUGGCCAGGACAGGGGCCCUCUGGCUCCCAGAUCUAGCCCAAGUUGUUCAGACCCUCUUCCACAUCUGAGACAAAGUCUGCAAAAGGCAGGUAGGGAUAUUUAAGAAUCCCUCCCACCCCUCUCAGGGGGAAAGAGGAGAGAGUGGAAUCUGCAAAAUUUCUCUGCGUGAGUUUUAAAACCUGCAACAGACAAAAAGCAUAUCAAAAACACUUUCUACUUUCUAGCGAAGAAGUGUUUGUAUAUCAUGAAUCUAAUAAAUGACAAUACUUUUUAGUACAAAAGAUAUGGCACAAGACCUGGAAUCAGGAGUGUGGAGUUCUAGUUACAGCGACUUAUUAGGAAACCCUCAGAGAACCAUGUAGUGGUUCACUUUUUCAGCACUGCCAAAAUUGCUCUGCAGCAAGUUUCAAGAGUGCCAAGCAUCUGUACAGUGGAUUCGAGAUCUGAUACCUCUGCACAAGAUCCAUCAAUAUCCAUGGUUCCUAAACAUGCACGUUCAAAAAUUUUGUUUUAUCUAAUGAACGAAAAGUCUUUAUGAGGACUAUAUGAACCAUACAAUUACUACAAUCAUACAAUUACUACAUACAGAAAUUAAUUACAAUAGGCAAAUGAUAAAACAUAGAAAGAACUAGCAGUGGGAGCCUUAAACAAAGGAAUUGCCACCUGUGAUUACUGUCCUGACCAUCAAGCAAGACUUGAAAAGUAUUCUGAAAAGACAAGCCCAGGAAUAAAAAUGACAGGGCAGAAGAAACAUGGAUAUAAUGGGGACAUUUUCCACGCAUAUACUACCUCAUGGCCCAAAGGCUGUUCUCUGUUCUGUGUAAGACCUGUAUUACUUCUCCCCUUGCAAAUUUUCUCCACUGUUGCAGAUUCCAGGUACCCCUUUUUUCCCUCAAAUCAUUUAACAGAUUUACCUAGCAAAGUUAAAUUCAGAGCAAUUUCUUCCUGUCUGUCCUUAGUAUGGUUUGCUCUCUCUGUGCCAGAUCUGAAGAAUUUGUAUCUAUCACAGUCUGAGUAAAAAUAUUAUCUCUCCUUGCAAGCCAUCCAUUUCUUAAAAAUUUAGGGCACUUAAAUUUAUUAGAAAUAGUUAAAAAUGUAGGUAUAGAUGAUCAGCUCAUAUAUUUCAGAAUUAGUACAUUGACACAGUCAGUCCUGACCUCAAAUUGCUAUGUGUUUUUUUCCUGAAGCCUGCUCCAAUCUCAUAAAAAGUAUGAGUUUCUUUGCUGAUCUGAGUGAACCCUAUUCCACCCGAUUCACUGCAGUGAGUGUGCGAUCGGGUUUCUCCCACUGCUAAAACCAAAAGCUGGUGGCUGUGAAGCACUCUGCAGAUCUGUCUCCUU